rnacentral:rRNA from 1 species
AGUGAACGCUGGCGGUAGGCCUAACACAUGCAAGUCGAACGGCAGCACAGUAAGAGCUUGCUCUUACGGGUGGCGAGUGGCGGACGGGUGAGGAAUACAUCGGAAUCUACUUUUUCGUGGGGGAUAACGUAGGGAAACUUACGCUAAUACCGCAUACGACCUACGGGUGAAAGCAGGGGAUCUUCGGACCUUGCGCGAUUGAAUGAGCCGAUGUCGGAUUAGCUAGUUGGCGGGGUAAAGGCCCACCAAGGCGACGAUCCGUAGCUGGUCUGAGAGGAUGAUAAGCCACACUGGAACUGAGACACGGUCCAGACUCCUACGGGAGGCAGCAGUGGGGAAUAUUGGACAGUGGGCGCAAGCCUGAUCCAGCCAUACCGCGUGGGUGAAGAAGGCAUGCGGGUUGUAAAGCCCUUUUGUUGGGAAAGAAAAGCAGCAGGUUAAUACCCCGCUGUUCUGACGGUACCCAAAGAAUAAGCACCGGCUAACUUCGUG